rnacentral:rRNA from 1 species
AUGCUUGCUACAAAAUGUGACCUUGCUGAAAUUUCUGAUGAUGAAAUUUGCUAUGCUUUGAUAUGCAAACGAGCUUUGUUUUCGCUUGAUGAUAUUGCUAGUUCGUUGUCUCCUGCUGUCACUAACCUUUUGCAGGAGUUUGAGGACAUUUUCCCAGCUGAGAUACCCCCGGGGCUGCCACCUAUGAGAGGGAUAGAGCAUCAAAUUGAUUUGAUUCCGGGUGCAACUUUGCCAGAUCGUGCUGCCUAUCGAACCAACCCCAAGGAGACCAAGGAAAUUCAGCGACAAUUCCAAGACCUUUUGGACUGCGGGUAUGUACGUGAAAGCCUUAGUCCUUGUGCUGUUCCUAUACUUUUGGUUCCUAAGGAAGAUGGCACUUGGCGUCUGUGUGCUGAUUGUAGAGCCAUCAAUAAUAUUACUAUUCGGUAUCGUCAUCCUAUUCCUAGGUUAGACGACAUGCUUGAUGAGCUGUGUGGUUCUAUAAUUUUCACAAAGAUUGACUUGCGUAGUGGCUACCACCAAAUUAGAAUGAAACUUGGAGAUGAAUGGAAAACAACUUUCAAAACUAAAUUUGGGUUGUAUGAGUGGCUGGUAAUGCCUUUUGGCUUGACAAAUGCA